rnacentral:rRNA from 1 species
CCUACGGGAGACUGCAGUGGGGAAUAUUGCACAAUGGGGGAAACCCUGAUGCAGCGACGCCGCGUGAGCGAAGAAGUAUUUCGGUAUGUAAAGCUCUAUCAGCAGGGAAGAAAAUGACGGUACCUGAGUAAGAAGCUCCGGCUAAAUACGUGCCAGCAGCCGCGGUAAUACGUAUGGAGCAAGCGUUAUCCGGAUUUACUGGGCGUAAAGGGAGCGUAGGCGGCCUGCCAAGUCUGAUGUGAAAUACCGGGGCCAAACCCCGGGGCUGCAUUGGAAACUGGCAGGCUGGAGUGCCGGAGAGGCAGGCGGAAUGCCUAGUGUAGCGGUGAAAUGCGUAGAUAUUAGGAGGAACACCAGUGGCGAAGGCGGCAUGCUGGACGGUGACUGACGCUGAGGCUCGAAAGCGUGGGGAGCAAACAGGAUUAGAUACCCGAGUAGUC